AUAAAAUAAAACGCAGAGGUAACAAAAGCGUUUGUUGCUUUAUUUCGUUUUGCCCGGCUGUAAUUAUGUUUGCAGAUCGUCCUUUAAUAUGUAUGUUUUGUGAGAAUCCUUGUCAAUCAAAAUUACUGCGUUUGGCUCUCCGUUCUCACAUGGUACUGAUUAUUAAUUUCUACCUGCCUAUCAGUCAAUUAAAUCAGGGAUCGUGUACUGUUGUCUCCUUACAGGUUCAUUGAAAGUGCUUCAAUAAUAUGAUUGGAAUAUCAAAGCUUUGUUUUGCAGGCUGAUGGUACUAAAAGUCAGCUCGAAAUUUGAACUGCGACGGUUCGUCGCACUGCUGGCUCUGUUGCCCUUGUAAGCAUAGAUUAACUUCACUAAAGUGCGUAAGAUUUAUACAUAUGCUUGAUGAUCUUGUUUCAUGUGAGAAGAGUCAAAGCUCAGUCAACCAAACCCAGAUGAACUCGAAUAUAUUCAUUCGAUUUCGGUGAAGGAAAUAGGCGGGAUUAGUGUAUAAACAUAUAAGUUUGACGAUUCAUUAGUUGUUUUAAUCUCUCAAAUGUAUAGCUUAUGCCAGUAUUGAUAUUCUCAAAAUUUUAUAGGUAAUGGCCGUAAAAAAUGACCAAGUGGAAAUCCUGUUUCCACUAUUGUUCUCGCAGAACACCGACAGUAUAUUGGACGAUCUUGAAAGUGGAUAAGAUUUAUACAUGUGCCUGAUGAUCUUGUUUCAUGUGAGAAUGGUUAAAGCUCAAUCAACCAAACCCAGAUGACCUUGGAUAUAUUGAUUCGAUUUUGAUGAAGGAAAUAGACGGGAUUAGGGUAUAAACACAUUAGUUUGACGAUUCAUUAGUUGUUUUAAUCUCUCAAAUGUAUAGCUUAUGCCAUUGUUGAUAUUCUCGAAAUUUUAUAGGGAACAAUCAUAAAAAAUGACCAAGGUGGGAAUCCUGUUUCCACUAUUGUUCUACGAGGAAGCACCGACAGUAUAUUUGACGAUCUUGAAAGUGCAUAAGAUUUAUACAUGUGCCUAAUGAUCUUGUUUCAUGUGAGAACAGUUAAAGCUCAGUUAACUAAUCCUAGAUGACCUUGGAUAUAUUGAUUCGAUUUCGAUGAAGGAAAUAGACGGGAUUAGGAUAUAAACACAUUAGUUUGAAGAUUCAUUAGUUGUUUUAAUCUCUCAAAUGUAUAGCUUAUGCCAUUGUUGAUAUUCUCGAAAUUUUAUAGGCAACAAUCAUAAAAAAUGACCAAGGUGGGAAUCCUGUUUCCAGUAUUGUUCAACGAGGAAGCACUGACAGCAUAUUUGACGAUCUUGAAAGUGCAUAAGAUUUAUACAUGUGCCUGAUGAUCUUGUUUCAUGUGAGAACAGUUAAAACUCAGUUAACCAAUCCUAGAUGACCUUGGAUAUAUUGAUUCGAUUUCGAUGAAGGAAAUAGACGGGAUUAGGGUAUAAACACAUUAGUUUGACGAUUCAUUAGUUGUUUUAAUCUCUCAAAUGUAUAGCUUAUGCCAUUGUUGAUAUUCUCGAAAUUUUAUAGGUAACGGUCAUAAAAAAUGACCAAGGUGGGAAUCCUGUUUCCACUAUUGUUCUACGAGGAAGCACCAACAGUAAAUUUGACGAUCUUGAAAGUGCAUAAGAUUUAUACAUGUGCCUGAUAAUCUUGUUUCAUGUGAGAACAGUUAAAGCUCAGUUAACCAAUCCCAGAUGACCUUGGAUAUAUUGAUUCGAUUUUGGUGAAGGAGAUAGGCGGGAUUAGGGUAACGGUCGUAAAAAAUGACCAAGGUGGAAAUCCUAUUUUCACUAUUGUUAUGCGAGGAAACACCGACAGUGUAUUGGAUGAUCUUGAAAGAGCAGUUGAUGAUGGGGUGAACACAUACAAGGCUAUGUGCAGGGGCAGUCGGAUAAUACUUGGAGCUGCAACUACUGAAAUUGAAUUAGCCAGAAGGCUCAAGGAAUUUUCUUUCAAAGAAACUUGACUAGAUCAGUACGUAAUUGCUAAAUUUGGUGAAAGUUUUGAAAUGGUGCCCAGAAUCUUGGCCGAGAAUGCUGGGAAUGGAGAUCAUAUCAUCUUUAUAUGCUGAAAAUGCACCUGGAAACACCAAAGUGGGUAUUGAUUUAAAGGAAGGUGUCUGCAAGGAUGUGUCUACAAUGAAUAUAUGGAUCUCUACAUAACCAUAUUAUAAUGGCAAAACCAGCUGGUGGUUGGAGGAGAGACCCACCGGCAGGGAUGGAUGAGGUUCCAAGUCUCUGGUGGCAACAUCUUGGCUUGAGAUCUUGCAUAUGCAGCAUCCUUGGGCUGAUGGGAGUCAAGGACCUCUAAUGCCAAUGCCAUUUAUAAUUUUUUGUACUUUAUUCUUUUCCUGAUUCUGUCCUUGAUGCCGUUUCAUGUGGUGGAGGAAUUUUUUUUUUUUUUUUUUUUUUUUUUUUUUUUUUUUUUUGUUAAAUCUGAAGUAAAUGUUGGUUGUAUAUGCUGCUUACAGCUGUAGUCCUUCAGUAUUUUUUAUCUUAGCUUAAUUUUAUCUCCAUGGGGUUUCUUUUUCAGAAAUCAGAGAAUACUUUACACCUCGGAUGUUCUUUGACUCGGGUACAAUCCUGUGAUUGGCUGUCAGUCUCCUCCCGAGUAUCUCCCAUUGUUAUAUCUUCAUUGAGAGAUGCAUAUUCUUGUUUAUUGAAAAUUAAAAAUUAUGUUGGUUAAUUGGUUCAUUGGAAAUUAUGUUUGUUUUUGCUUCAGAAUUUGUCCGAGAAGCCAAGGUUAUUUUUCAUUCCAUGAUUAGCUUAAAUUUAAUGCAGGAAGCAGGUCUAUUUGAACUGCUAUUCUUGAAACAGACACGGACACCUCUUUUCCUGAGACUCUUGACUAGAAGUUGGGACGGAAAGGUAUUAAAUUCUUAGAAUCAGGCGAUGUUCCUACAGUUUAGCUGACAGUUAGAAAUGGAAGCUCACUGAAACUUCAGAUACCCAAUGGCCAUGUUAAGGAGGUUCUCUAUACUCUUCCUGCCAAGGAACGGGGGCAGGUUAUACCAACACUAAAGGUGGCAUUGGUUUGGUCAUCAAUGAGGUGUCUGGACCAAAUUCCAAAAGUUCUGCUCUCAAGACUUCUGAAUGGACAGUAAAAGAUGUUGAUUCAGAUUCAAUUGAUGCUUUCCAGGUUGAAUUGAGCUGCAGCAGCGGAACUGUUGAAAUAAGCUAUGUAGUGUCACUAUAUCCGUUA